AUUGAACGCUGGCGGCAGGCCUAACACAUGCAAGUCGAACGAGUGGCGGACGGGUGAGUAAUGUCUGGGAAACUGCCCGAUGGAGGGGGAUAACUACUGGCAACGGUAGCUAAUACCGCCUACCAUCGGAUGUGCCCCGAUGGGAUUAGCUAGUAGGUGGGGUAAUGGCUCACCUAGGCGACGAUCCAUAGCUGGUCUGAGAGCAUGACCAGCCACACUGGAACUGAGACACGGUCCAGACGCCUACGGGAGGCAGCAGUGGGGAAUAUUGCACAAUGGGCGCAAGCCGGAUGCAGCCAUGCCGCGUGUAUGAAGAAGGCCUUCGGGUUGUAAAGUACUUUCAGCGAGGAUGCGUUACUCGCAGAAGAAGCACCGGCUAACUCCGUGCCAGCCGCCGCGGUAAUAC
rnacentral:rRNA from 1 species